rnacentral:rRNA from 1 species
GCAUAUCAAUAAGCGGAGGAAAAGAAAAUAACAUGAUUCCCUAGUAACUGCGAGUGAAGAGGGACAAGCUCAAAUUUUAAAUCUGUCGGGUUUUACCCGAUCGAGUUGUAAUUUGAAGAAGCGUUUUCUGCGUAUUUGGUCAGCCCAAGUCCUAUUGAAUGAGGCAUCAUGGAGGGUGAUAAUCCCGUCCGGUUGAUCAUUGCGUUUUAUGAUACGCUUUCUAAGAGUCAAGUUGUUUGGGAUUGCAGCUUAAAAUGGGAGGUAAAUUUCUCCUAAGGCUAAAUAACGGCGAGAGACCGAUAGCGAACAAGUACCGUGAGGGAAAGAUGAAAAGAACUUUGAAAAGAGAGUUAAACAGUACGUGAAAUUGUUGAAAGGGAAACGAUUGAAGCCAGUCGUACCUAUGGGUAAUCAGCCUUUUGGGUGUGAUUUUGUGGAGCGUGAAGAGUUAAACGCCUUCAUGCCUGCAUAUUCGUGCACUUUGGGUGUACUUGCCCGUGUGUAAGUUAACAUCAAUUUUGGUGGUCAUAAAAUGGCUGGAGGAAUGUAGCUUCGAUCUUGUAUUGAAGUGUUAUAGCCUUCGGUAGAUGUGACGAUCGGGAUUGAGGAUUGCAACGGAUACCCUUCGGGGCUACCUGUCUGAUCUCUGAUUGUUGCUCUGGUGCCGAAAGCUUGCUUACGGUUAUCAAAGUCGAUGGUUAAUAGGUUAGAACGGGUUAAAUUCGUUAAGGAUGUUGACGUAAUGGCUUUAAACGAC